UACGUAGGGUGCAAGCGUUGUCCGGAAUUAUUGGGCGUAAAGAGCUCGUAGGCGGUCUGUCGCGUCGGACGUGAAAACCCAGGGCUCAACCCUGGGCCUGCGUUCGAUACGGGCAGACUAGAGUUCGGUAGGGGAGACUGGAAUUCCUGGUGUAGCGGUGAAAUGCGCAGAUAUCAGGAGGAACACCGGUGGCGAAGGCGGGUCUCUGGGCCGAAACUGACGCUGAGGAGCGAAAGCAUGGGGAGCGAACAGG
rnacentral:rRNA from 1 species